UGGCGAACGGGUGAGUAACGCGUGAGUAACCUGCCUUUCAGUGGGGGACAACAGAGGGAAACUUCUGCUAAUACCGCAUAACGUGCCUUGGGGGCAUCCCUGGGGUACCAAAGAUUUAUUGCUGAAAGAUGGGCUUGCGUCUGAUUAGAUAGUUGGCGGGGUAACGGCCCACCAAGUCGACGAUCAGUAGCCGGUCUGAGAGGAUGAACGGCCACAUUGGGACUGAGAUACGGCCCAGACUCCUACGGAAGGCAGCAG
rnacentral:rRNA from 1 species